CAGGGAAUAGUUUAAGAAGAAUAUCAAUUUUGGGUAUUGAUGGUAGGACUGAAGUCUUUUCCUUGA
rnacentral:tRNA from 1 species